UGGCGCCCUUGUACAGGCAAGCGUGACGAACAUUGGAUCCGUCCAACAGAAAGUAAAUUAUGAGUGCUACUAAUAUUGUGUUAACAGAACUAGAAUUCUCAACAUGGCUCUUACUAAAGCCUGAAAUAUCGUAGCCACAUUGAUAACGUUAUCUCAACUAUAUAAGGGCUCGAGUGCACCUUGUGCACUUGGUGACGGUGUUCCUGAAGCAGAAGAAAAGGACGGACCUGGUGAUACUCAGUACGUGGAUAACCCAUCGUCUGCUGUUGACGUAUUUAGUAAUAUGACCAUGAUACUGCGCUCUGCUUGGCGCAUUAGCAAUUGGUUGCGUAGUGCGCGCAGUUCUGCCACAACAAAAUCACCAAAUUGGAUUUCUCUAGCCCUAUUCAGAACGUGCACUAUUGCUGUAUGGUUCACACGACGACAGCUGACCUCAGCUAUCUUCCCUCUCUCUUCUUUGCUUAGACUUUAGACUGAGGGAAAUAUUUACCUGCUCUCCGGACCGUUUACACACAUCAUAAUCCCUAAAGCCGGCCAUUCACGAUCGCUCCAUUCGUCCAAAUGGCGCGGUGUCGCUCCAAAAUUGUACUGUGAAUGCGGAAACUCAAGUCCAUUGGCGUGGCGCGGUGGGCUCGUCUGGAUAUUCUGUCGAGCCAUAAUCCAUCCGAUCGCUCCAUCACUCCAUCGCGCCAUCGUAUCGUGAGUGGCGGAAACGUGGUCCAUUCUCAUGCCAGUCUGCCACGAGCCUUCGUCCAGUCAAGUCGAAAGUUGCAUAAUGUCGGGGCGUGAUUUCGUUAUUGAUGUUAUUGAUAAAUAUAGAGAGUUGCCAUGUAUUUUACAAAUAAGUUAAAAUAUAUUAUGAGACAUGUUUCGCCUCUUAAGUGGCAUCAUCAGUCAUGUGAUUCACGAACUAAUUGAAACUAAUUAAAUGUAAAAAAAUAAUUACAUU